UAAGAGUGGAAAAAGGUACACACAGGUGGACUACAUUCUUUGUAGGAGAUGCAAGCGAAAAGAAACUGGAGACUGUAAUGUGGUAGCAGGAGAGAGUGUCACUAGACAGCAU